rnacentral:rRNA from 1 species
UACGUAGGCAGCAAGCGUUGUUCGGAGUUACUGGGCGUAAAGGGUGUGUAGGCGGUCCUCUAAGUUUGGAUGUGAAAUCUCCCGGCUCAACUGGGAGGGUGCGCCGAAAACUGGAGGGUCUGAGUACUGGAUGGGAGAGUGGAAUCCUGGUGUAGCGGUGAAAUGCGUAGAUAUCAGGAGGAACACCUGUGGUGUAGACGGCUCUCUGGACAGUAACUGACGCUGAGACACGAAAGCGUGGGUAGCAAACAGG